rnacentral:rRNA from 1 species
AAUCUUCCACAAUGGGCGAAAGCCUGAUUGAGCAACGCCGCGUGAGUGAAGAAGGUUUUCGGAUCGUAAAACUCUGUUUUAAGGGAAGAACAAGUACAGUAGUAACUGCCUGUACCUUUACGGUACCUUAUUAGAAAGCCACGGCUAACUACGUGCCAGCAGCCGCUGUAAUACGUAGGUUGCAAGCGUUGUCCGGAAUUAUUGGGCGUAAAGCGCGCGGAGGCGGUCCUUUAAGGCUGAUGUGAAAGCCCAGGGCACAACCGGGGAGGGUCAUUGGAAACUGGGGGACGUGAGUGCAGAAGAGGAAAGUGGAAUUCCAAGUGUAGCGGUGAAAUGCGGAGAGAUUUGGAGGAACACCAGUGGCGAAGGCGACUUUCUGGUCUGUAACUGACGCUGAGGCGCGAAAGCGUGGGGAGCAAACA